rnacentral:rRNA from 1 species
GUGUCAGCCGCUGCGGUAAUACGUAGGGAGCAAGCGUUGUCCGGAUUUACUGGGUGUAAAGGGUGCGUAGGCGGCUAUGCAAGUCAAUUGUGAAAACUAUGGGCUCAACCGAUAGCCUGCAUUUGAAACUGCGGGGCUUGAGUGAAGUAGAGGCAGGUGGAAUUCCCGGUGUAGCGGUGAAAUGCGUAGAGAUCGGGAGGAACCCCAGUGGCGAACGCGAACUACUGGGCUGUAACUGACGCUGAGG